GUUUGACGAGUAGCAUCUCCAUUUUGAAAUUUCUUUUGCAUUCAUGUUUUCUGUGGUGAUAUUGAAAUCUAUUUUUGGUGCCGGAACUAUUGUAAUAGCAAGCUGGAAAUCAUAUUCAAGAUAUCUUUGAAGAACCCGGAUAUUGUUGCGGCACAACAGUUUGCGGAGCCGAUAUCCAAUGUGCAAAGUUGGAAAACCGAGAAAGAGUAUCGGGAGCAUCGGAUCGUACAGAUUCAAAAUAUGAAGAAAAACUAAAACAAAUUGUUAGUGAUAAUGACAUGACAUAAUAAAUACGAAAUUCUUUUAUAUUAUACUGA